ensembl:lncRNA
GUGAUCUGAGCUAGAACUUUAUCAGGACUAAACUGGGUCUAAACCGGGCCUAAACCGGUUCUAAACUGGGCCGAAACCAGGUCUUGAUUGGGUGUGGACCAGGACCAGACCAGGACCAGACCAAGACCAGUUCUAGACCACCUGUAGUCCGGACUCAGGAGGAUGCUGGUUCUACUCCUCACGGCUCUGGUCCUCCUGGUGUGUCUGGCUCUGCUGUCCUCCCUCUGUUUGCACUGCUACAAGAGACCCAUGGUUUCAAUCCGUCAGACCCGCACGUCAGAGGACACAUACAUCCCGUCAUCACAAUUCCUGAUGAACAGACCUAUGCAGUACUCUGUACACCAGAACUAUGUCCAUCCUCCAUCAAAUCUCCUCUCUCCUCAUUUUUCAGGGGAGGGGUCUCAGAGACCCGCACGUCCUUCCGUCACCCCCACAGAGACAGAGAGCAACAACAGCUACGAGAACACAGGGCCGUGUGCAGACAGUGAGGAGGAAGUCCCUGACCCUGGAUACAUAGUGGUGCUCCCCGAAACAGCACCCCCUGUGGCCAAAAUCAAUCGCACAUCCACCACCAGCUCAGAGAGCGUUGGCAGCGACGAGGACGCAGAACCUAACUAUGUGAACUUGGGCGACCCGGAGAGCUCCUUUGUUUCGCCACAUGAUCAGCUGGACAUCAAUGAGAGUCAAGACUCAAGCGAGCACUCUGACAGUGAUGAAGAGGGGGACUACGUGAACCAGCCCUCGUUUCAGAAGUCGGAGGCGGAGCCCAGUGCAUGAUGGGACGGAUUGUAGUUUUUUCUGACACUUCCUGAGAAUCUUUUUUGUUUCUGUUUGUUUACACGAGCUGUGCCCAAGUGAAUAAAUGUUUAAGA